ensembl:snRNA U6 U6 spliceosomal RNA
GUGCUUGCUUCUACAGCACAUAUACUAAAAUUGGAAUGACACAGAAAAGAUUAGCAUGUCCCUGUGCAAGGAUGACACGCAAAUUCGUGAAGCAUUCCAUAUUUUU